UUGGGGAGAAGAAGAAAAGAAAAAAAAAAGAUUGGCAACAGAUGUUAGCUCAGGUGCCAGAGUUUAAACAGCACACCUGUGCGUCUGUCCGUGCUCAAUCCUGUUGCUGCUCAGAGACGUGGCAGAGCACCGCAGGCCAGGGCAGCCCCUUUGGAAAUCCAAUGGGCAGGGGCACAAACCCUGGCUCUGUCUGGUACUAAGAACCACAGGCCCUAGACAGGCUGCUCCUUCAGCCCAGCUGCCAGCAUGAAGAAGACAUGCAGAGCAGAGACAUGACCACUGGCCUGCGAAUAAGAGAUUUUUUUUUCUUGAGGAAGACUGGCCCUGAGCUAACAUCCGUGCCCAUCUUCCUCUACCUUAUAUGUGGGACGCCUACCACAGCAUGGCUUGCCAAGUGAUGCCGUGUCUGCACCCGGAUCCUAACCAGCAAACCCCAGGCCGCUGAAGCAGAAUGUGCUCAGUUAAUCGCUGCACCACCGGGCCGCCCCAAGAACUUUGAUUUUUAGAUCAGUCUGCUCCCCAUCAGGGCGCCCUGUGUGGGCCAAGGACCAGACCUGGAGAAUCCUCAGUCUAAGCUCCUGGAAAUAUUUUAAGUGUCUCUAAGUACACAGAAAGAGCGUCUUCUAAGAAUGUGGAAGGAGUUUGAACAUCACCCAGGGAAAGAUGACCUCAGAUCCAGCUUCUCAUCUAGAGAACUCAUAAAAAUCGCUCUGGGAAAGUUGCUGUUAGUUGUUAUUUAGUAUCUCCCACUGGUCAGGAAGGGUAAGGCGAAGGACUCUGCUAAGAGCCUUACACGUGUCAUCUCGUUCAAUUCUCAUGACACCACCAUGACCUAGGUGCUGUUACCAUUUCCUCUUUCCCGUUUAGGAAACUGAGACAUGGUGAAGUGUCUGCCCAAAGUCACACAGCCAGUGGAGGCAGAGCUGAGGCCUGACUUUCCUCUGCACCGUUCCACCUCCCUGCAUAUCCAUUUUAGAUCCAACUUAUGGUGUCGUUGAGUUUUUUGCUUCACGCACGCUUAAUGGUCCAUGAGGGCUUGUUGUAUAAUUAACGUGCAUGUGCUUAUUUUCUAGAACUCAGCACUUGCUUUCUUGUUUUAAAACUAUUGUCGCGGUUUAUGGUUAUUGCAUCCUUAUGUUCUGGUGUUGGUUCUAUCUGGGAUCAUCGAUGGUCCCAUGGAGGAGACGCCCUUCUCUUUAAAGACAGCUCACCACGGGGCUGGCUCCGCCGGGUAACAACUACCGCCAAGGAGAGGGGCUGCGUGACGCUUGACUCUGCCAGAGGAAAAGCGAGACUCGGGACAUGCAGGGUUUUGAAAAACAGCAAUGCAGCGAAGAGUGGUGCAAGGAGAACAGGGUCUGAGAGGGAGGUUUCACAGGGCAGGCCAAGGAGUCUGUACUUUAUCAUCCAGGCAGGGAUGUUUUCACAGAUGGGAGUGCCCUGAUCAGAUCUGUGUUUGCAAAGCGCUCAACUUGUUUCGGGACUGGGUGGGAGCCACUCUGAGGAGCAGGCUCUCUGGGUGCUGUGGGAUUGCCAGGAAACAUGUCUAUGGAAACGUGGCUUAGGUGUGGCUGAGGACAGUGUCUCUGGCCCCGCACUGUCCAGGGUCUCUUCUCUGUCGCCCCAGGGCCUGCUUCUCCAGCUGAUCCUCCUCUGUAUCCCACGCUGGUCCACAGGGAGAAAGCCUGGGUCCAAAUCCUGGCUCUGGCGCUCCCAAGCUCUGUGCCUGUGGUCCAGUUUCCUCUGUGCCUCAAUUUCUCCAUCUGUAAAAGGGUUUAACAAUAAACUCACCUCGUAUGACUGUGGUGAGGAUUAAAGUGAGCAGACGUACGUGAAGCCCUUAGAAGAGAGCCUGGCACGAAGCAAGCAUUGUAGGAGCUUUGGCUCUGGUCCCCGUUACUCAGAUUGGACAGCCUUGAAUCGGGACUGGUACAAAUCUCAGGCUCUCUACCAAGUCUUGAUCAAAGGUUGGACUUUCAGAUGAAGGCUUCACCCCUGGUAUUUCUGCAGCCCCAUCUCCUUUUAUUCUUCUCACUACUGAAAGAUGUUCGUGUAAAUGCCGCCUAUGCCUCGGCUCAGAAUUCUGCACUUAAAUCUGUGUGGCCGUCUGCAAGCUCUUGGGGAUACCUUUGUCUGACUUCUUCUCCCUUGAUGCUGCAGAAGGAGAGGACUUAGAAGCCUUCUGAGCUUUUAGUGGAAAGAACAACUUUCUUUCUAACCAAAAGCCAGCCAUUCUACGCUAUUUCCCUGGUAACAGUGGUCCCUCCCAAGACCUUGGCAGGUUGCUAAAAAAAACGAAGAAAAGGAAAGACUCCUGUCCCUGUACAGCUUCACUGUGUGACUACUUCUUAACUGUUUCCUGCCCACUUAUGGGUGAGUCACUCAGGCCUUCCCAGGGGCUCCCUUCUCUGCAGGCCAGCUCCUUCCAAUCAGAAGGCAGUUGCCAAGGGAACCACAGGUACCAGUCUCCCGCCAUCCCUCUGAAUCAAGGCCUAAUCUACAUUGAAAGAAAUUUCCAUUCCAGAGCUCAGCAGAUUUCAACAUUUUACAACC
rnacentral:lncRNA from 1 species